rnacentral:lncRNA from 1 species
AGAAACAAGCUCAGCUGCAACUACUAUUGUUUGCUAUUUGGUAAAUGUUUUGGCUGAGGUGACCUGAUGUACACUGUACAUACGUUCAGCAUAAGAAAUAUUUUUGAAGGGAUGUCCUAUUGAUUGCUGCCUCCCCAUACUGUGUUUUCCUUUUUGUCCUGGAGUCGGAGAGAAUUGAGGUGAAUGCUCUCACCAUAUGAACAUUAUCAAAGCUGUAAGUCCAAGAGGGCACUUCACCGUGAGGCACUACAAUCAACACAAUAAAGGUAGCUGAGACUGAAAUUUGAGGUUCAGAGAUGAGUCACCAUUUAUUCAAGAGAGGCAAAUAUCAUGGAAUUAGUCUUGUCCUGUGUGGAGCACGCCAGCAAUGUCAUCCUGGAAUCUGAGCCUUGGAAACUCUCCUCAUUCCUAACAUCCUUCCUCGGGCAUAUAAGAGGAAGAAAUUAUAUCUGACUUUG